GGACGAACGCUGGCGGCAUGCCUAACACAUGCAAGUCUAGGGCGUAGCAAUACGCACUGGCGCACGGGUGAGUAACGCGUAGGUCAUCUGCCCCUAUCACCGACAUAACUCUUGGAAACGAGAGCUAAUAUCGGAUGAGGUGAGCAAUCAUCAAAGUUUCGACGGAUAGGGAUGAGCCUGCGUCUGAUUAGGUAGUUGGUGAGGUAACGGCUCACCAAGCCUACGAUCAGUAGCUGGUCUGAGAGGACGAACAGCCACACUGGAACUGAGACACAGUCCAGACUCCUACGGGAGGCAGCAGUGAGGAAUAUUGGACAAUGGGAGCAAUCCUGAUCCAGCAAUGCCGCGUGUGGGAUGACGGGGCUUCGCCUUGUAAACCACUGUCGGACGGGACGAGAAGAGGUAUGAACCUCUGGGACGGUACCGUCAAAGGAAGGAUCGGCUAACUACGUGCCAGCAGCCGCGGUAAUACGUAGGAUCCGAGCGUUGUCCGGAAUUACUGGGUAUAAAGGGUGCGUAGGCGGCUUUUUGCGUCAGAGGUGAAAUCCACAGGCUCAACCUGUGGGGUGCCUUUGAAACGGGAAGGCUUGAGUAUGACAGAGGCGGAUGGAAUUCCUGGUGUAGCAGUGAAAUGCGUAGAUAUCAGGAGGAACACCGGUGGCGAAGGCGGUCCGCUGGGUCAUAACUGACGCUGAGGCACGAAAGCGUGGGGAUCAAACAGGAUUAGAUACCCUGGUAGUCCACGCCUUAAACGAUGUAUGCUUGGUGUUGGGGCAGCAAUGUUCCAGUGCCGGAGGGAAUC
rnacentral:rRNA from 1 species